UUUUUCUUGAUUUUCUUAGCCUGCCUAUUAACAGCUAGUGUGAAGUUAACUAAAGCCUGCCUAAUAAUAGCUAGUGUGAACUAACCAUCAUAGUACAAUUGUACAUCCAUGAUAUAUCAUCACUCAUGUAACUGCAGGAACCUGGCAUAUACUAACAAUAAAUUACUGCUAACAUUCUCUAACAUUCUCUAACAUUCUAUAACAGUGAAUCGAGUUUGCAAUGAUGUUAUAGACAAAUUUUUAUAAUAAAUGUAUGAAUUUGUGUGGUUGUGCUAUGAAUGGGCCGAUACUUAAUAAUGUAUCAAUUUGUGUGGAUUCACUAUGAAGAUAUGGACUAAUAUCUAAUAAUACAUGUAUUUAUUUGUGUGAUUUUGCUAUAAAGACAUUACGCGAACCCUUUACGGAGGAUGUAAGUUAUUACACAGGGUUUACUGCCUUGCUACCCUCACAGUAAGGAUAUCCUCUCUUCUCUGCCCCCAUGUCAGGUUGUCUGGGUUGUACUCGGAGGUACGAGUAGAGGAAUCCUAAGUAAAUCAGACUGCCAUGUUGGGUUGUGUCGAGAGGGUAUCCGAGCCUGGCAACAGAUGGACAUUCAGUUGCCCUGGUUACCAGGUUGUUCAUCUGUCCUCCUGGUGGUUGCUGGGCUCCAACCCACUUGGAUCAUAUUCAGUCACACAACUAUUUAUGCGUGCCCAUUAUAUACCGUGACUUUUUAUUUUGAGUGGAUUAUUUUUGAUUGGCUGAAUGUUGAUUUUGAUUUUUUGAUCACGAUUGCUGUGUUAUUCCGUAAACACACCCAUAUCAUAUUCCUGCAUAUAUAAUACCUGGUACAUCAUUUCACUUAAUGUGACAUUAUAAAAUGACAAUAAAAUGUUGUAAUGAUGAAGACAAGGAAUAUAGAGACUUAGAGUCAAGAUAAUUUCAAAAAUUACACGGAAAUGCAUAUUUUCUAGGAUAUUGUUAAUUAAAUCUUAAUCAUGUGAUAAAAAGAUCUUUCCAUUUCACACAAGAUUAUGAAAAUUGUCAGAAACUCUUGAAUUGUAUAAUAAAUCUCAUGAAACAGAAACUUCAGUUAGAUCAUAUUAUAUGCAUGAAAUAUGUACCUUUGCUUUAUCUUUGCUAAACAAAUUAAGCAUCUAUCCACUUGUCAUAUACAUGUCACUUAAAUUAUAUACCUAUGUACAGCCUUGUAUACAGGUCACGUAUCACUGACCCAUGUAUAGCCUGGUAUACAGGUCACGUAUCACUGACCCAUGUACAGCCUGGUAUACAGGUCACGUAUCACUGACCCUAUUAACCAACUCCAGGUCACGUAUCACUGACCCAUGUACAACCUUGUAUACAGGUCACGUAUCACUGACCCAUGUACAGCCUGGUAUACAGGUCACGUAUCACUGACCCAUGUACAACCUUGUAUACAGGUCACAUAUCACUGACCCAUGUACAGCCUCGUAUGCAGGCCGCACAUCACUGACCCAUUGAACCAACUCCAGGCCAUGUAUCACUGCCCCAUUGAACCAACUCCAGGCCAUGUAUCACUGACUCAUUGAACCAACUCCAGGCCAUGUAUCACUGCCCCAUUGAACCAACUCCAGGCCAUGUAUCACUGCCCCAUUGAACCAACUCCAGGUCAUGUAUCACUGCCCCAUUGAACCAACUCCAGGUCAUGUAUCACUGCCCUAUUGAACCAACUACAGACCAUGUAUCACUGACCCAUUGAACCAACUCCAGGCCAUGUAUCACUGACCCAUUGAACCAACUACAGGCCAUGUAUCACUGACCCAUUGAACCAACUACAGGUCAUGUAUCACUGCCCCAUUGAACCAACUCCAGGUCAUGUAUCACUGCCCCAUUGAACCAACUACAGACCAUGUAUCACUGACCCAUUGAACCAACUACAGGCCAUGUAUCACUGACCCAUUGAACCAACAACAGACCAACUACAGACCAUGUAUCACUGACCCAUUGAACCAACUACAGACCAUGUAUCACUGACCCAUUGAACCAACUACAGACCAUGUAUCACUGACCCAUUGAACCAACUCCAGGCCAUGUAUCACUGCCCCAUUGAACCAACUCCGGGCCAUGUAUCACGCCCCCAAUUAACCAACUACAGGCCAUGUAUCACUGACCCAUUGAACCAGCUCCAGGACAUGUAUCACUGCCCCAUUGAACCAACUCCAGGCCAUGUAUCACUGCCCCAUUGAACCAACUACAGGACAUGUAUCACUGACCCAUUGAACCAACUCCAGGACAUGUAUCACUGCCCCAUUGAACCAACUCCAAGCCAUGUAACACUGACCCAUUGAACCAACUCCAGGCCACGUAUCACUGCCCCAUUGAACCAACUCCAGGUCAUGUAUCACUCACCCAUUGACCUGACCUAAUACCUCUUGCAUUGCCCAUUGCAUUAUGUCAUAAUCCAGACAUCGUCUAUAAACGUGC